GAAGUUGUGGGUUACUCUGUGAGAGCCACUCCUGAAAAGCACCCACUUCAUACUCUCUGAAGAGACCCAGCUAACCAGGAAGAACAUCCCCCUGGACCCGUCCACAAAACCAGACCCCCCUCCCCCACCGCCCUGCGAUGAGCUUCCCGAUGGUCCACACCGGAGUGGCCCAUUUGGGACAGGCCACCUGGGCCCCUGAGUGCAGACCCGCUCUGUGGGAUUCAGCUCCACAGCUCUUCCCUACGGAUGAGCUGGUCCCCCAGCGCCAUCCUGUAUGGGAUGAGCUCCCUGGCAGCACAUGGCCCCCACUGAGCUGAGGACUGGGAGAGGAAGGAGUGUGCCAUCCAGAGUACCCCACCUUCUACGGUUUGGUGCUAUAGCACCUUUGGAAGGGCUGUGCUGGCAGCAUCAACAUCAGCAAAUC